GAUGAACGCUGGCGGCGUGCUUAACACAUGCAAGUCGAACGAAGCACUUUGAAACUUUCGGGUUUCAAAGUGACUGAGUGGCGGACGGGUGAGUAACGCGUGGGUAACCUGCCUUAUACAGGGGGAUAACAGUUAGAAAUGACUGCUAAUACCGCAUAACCCGAUAGAGUCGCAUGACUUAGUCGGAAAAGAUUUAUCGGUAUAAGAUGGACCCGCGUCUGAUUAGCUAGUUGGUGAGGUAAUGGCCCACCAAGGCGACGAUCAGUAGCCGGCUUGAUGGAGUGAACGGCCACAUUGGGACUGAGCCACGGCCCAAACUCCUACGGGAGGCAGCAGUGGGGAAUAUUGCACAAUGGGGGAAACCCUGAUGCAGCAACGCCGCGUGAAGGAAGAAGUAUUUCGGUAUGUAAACUUCUAUCAGCAGGGAAGAAAAUGACGGUACCUGACUAAGAAGCCCCGGCUAACUACGUGCCAGCAGCCGCCGUAA
rnacentral:rRNA from 1 species